CAGCAGCUACGGUAAUACGAAGGGUGCAAGCGUUACUCGGAAUUACUGGGCGUAAAGCGUGCGUAGGUGGUGGUUUAAGUCCGUUGUGAAAGCCCUGGGCUCAACCUGGGAAUUGCAGUGGAUACUGGGUCACUAGAGUGUGGUAGAGGAUAGUGGAAUUUCCGGUGUAGCAGUGAAAUGCGUAGAGAUCGGAAGGAACAUCUGUGGCGAAGGCGACUAUCUGGGCCAACACUGACACUGAGGCACGAAAGCGUGGGGAGCAAACAGGAUUAGAUACCCCGGUAGUCCCUGUCUCUUAUAC
rnacentral:rRNA from 1 species